rnacentral:misc_RNA from 1 species
AAAAAAAAAAAGCCACAGUAAACUUACUGAGAUUAAAACUUUUGCUAACUGCUCAGAAGUUGGGAUAUGAAAUACACGAUUCAAAGAACUUAGCUUAAUAAGCAAUCAAAUGAAGCCAAUUUUUUGAAUAGUCUACUCCAAACCACUUCACAUAUAUAAGUCUACAAUUUCAACAAAAAUCUUGAUACCUCCACAAUAUUUUUUGUUUUUAAAUUCUGAAGCUGCAAGGCUAUAGUUUAAUUUCAGCCAAAACCAAAUUUGAUCUUUGAAUAAAAAG